UGGGGAAUAUUGCACAAUGGGCGCAAGCCUGAUGCAGCCAUGCCGCGUGUAUGAAGAAGGCCUUCGGGUUGUAAAGUACUUUCAGCGGGGAGGAAGGUGUUGAGGUUAAUAACCUCAGCAAUUGACGUUACCCGCAGAAGAAGCACCGGCUAACUCCGUGCCAGCAGCCGCGGUAAUACGGAGGGUGCAAGCGUUAAUCGGAAUUACUGGGCGUAAAGCGCACGCAGGCGGUCUGUCGAAGUCGGAAUCGGUGAAAUCCCCGGGGCUCAACCUGGGAAACUGCAGUUCGAAACUGGCAGGCUGGAGGUC
rnacentral:rRNA from 1 species